GAAUGCUGAGUCAAAUAUACCCAAAAUGCCCCAGCCAAGGCAGAGACCGGAGGCUGUCACUCAACUGAGGUGCCGUUAGGAGAGCACGGGGUGGGAGCAGCUCUGAGCUUCCUUCCUGGUGACGCCAGGCCAAAGUGCAACUCCGAUGCGCUGCCGCUCUCCCUCCUGGGUCCCUGGAAGGAUUUGGAUGACAAGCUGUCCUUUCUGAACGGUACAGGGAUCCCAGGAGGCUGUGAGGUCAGCCUGGAUUUGGUCACUGAGAACUGGACCACAGCCUGGUGGGGGUUCCAAGGAGCCUGCUGGCUGUUUGUCAAGACACUGGAGUCGGAGCCAAAGAUGUGCGGCCUGAUGUCUCCAUCACAGAUGCCAAGACUCCCUUCCUCCUGCUCGGCCACACAUCUGGAGACGGCAAGCAAAGCAGGACUCUAUGUGGAAGCUGAUCUUACAGGCUAUGCCUGGCUCAAAAAGUGGCACUCUCUAGGCCAGCACUGGGGUCUACGAGCUCGACCCCCGCUCCCAUCCCCAACUAGGAUGAUUCUCAUGGGUCACCUGGUUCCAGAACAUACCCCCCCCCCCCCCCCCCCCCCCCGCCUCACUCUCCACCCUCUACCACACACAAUGAGGAGACUGCUGGAGCCUGACUGUAGCGAACCAUUUCCUCAGUCUCCUGCUCCAUAGGGCCUAUGGCUUCCCUUCCUCCCAGCUGUGGUUCUUAAGGAUUCUGUGUCAGAAUCCAAGGCCCUGCUCUUCUCCUGUAUUCCAACCUUCUCAGUUCUAACAGCUUUAACGUCUACCAACAUGAACAUAAAUUCACUGGGGAUGUAGGCUACCUGCUUUAGUCCACCCUCCCUGGAAAGGCCCAUCAAUAGGUGCCUCUGUGACCAUGGUGAGGGGUGCAUGUAAGUCCGGAGUGCUGAGGCCUGGGCUGUUUACCUGGUGUGUACAGUGUACCUCAAGAGGCCCUGGGAGCAGGGAAGAGACAAGCCCAGGACCUACCAAGUCCCAGCAACAAUAGGACAUCUUUUCCAAAGGAGUGGUCAACUGAGCAGAGGUGAGAAUAGCCCAAAGAUGGCCAACUUGGAUUCCAGGAAAUGAAACCAUAGAGUAAAUAUUCAGAUAACAUCGUGGGUCCAAUCUUCUCGGCCAGCCCUCUCUGCUCUACCACUUUUUUGAAAAGGACAUCACACUGCCAUCUGCCAGGAACAGAAUGCUCCAAAACCAAGAUUUUCCCUUGCGCCAAGCUGCUGUCACACUCUGAGCCUGUCCAGGCCAUUUACAAAUUAUAUAGAUUUGAAGUCAUUUAAAUGUGGAAGAGAAAGAGACAUUGUUCCUGUGGUCAGGGCGCGUUAACUGCUCUGAAACACUUUCCUGUGUGUACAGGCCCUACCAGUUCUGUCCCAGGUGCUUGUCACAAGGAUGCUUUCUUGAUGCAGGCAAAGGGACAGCACUCUGGCAAAGGAAGCCUGAGUGUUUUACACACUGGCAGCACCCGCUAAGAGGUAUGUGUCGAGGCCACUGGAAAGCAGGGGAUUCUGGGAGACACUGGCUCUGGCAUUCUUCUGGGGUGGGGCACUCUGCCAGUUGCUCAGUGGGGGAGCCAAGUGUACAAGCCCCUGGUGGCCUCGAGCACACAUUUUCAACUGCUGCUCCAAGGGGGAUGUCACAGCGUCCUCCUUCUGCUCCUCGGGUUCUCAGUGGACUUCCUGCUGGAGAAAUGAGAGCUGCCUUCGAGUUCAUCUCCGUCAAGGGUGAUUUCAGCCAUAAGGCCAGGAGCAAGGGAGCCGGAGAAGGCCUGAGCCCACGGUGCCUUGCAGACAACAGCUGUCUAGGCAAUCUAGGUUUCCAGCUAAAUGAGAUGCCAGGAGUUUGAUGAGACUGGGGAACGAGCCAAGUGUAGUUCACCGGAUGUGGGGGGAGCUGCUGGUCACGGUGACAUGGACAACCUAGUGCAGACACUGGCCUGACCCUCAAGAGGAAGAACAGGCCCCAUAGCAUCCCCGGUCUGGGAAGCCUGGAACAAAAAGGAAGGCAGGUAUGCCAUGAAAACUCACAAACCUUGGGAGACACAGUCAGUUGUCAGGUCCAUAAAAGCCAGUGUCCGAUCUCCACACCAAGGAUGCUGACACCAGGCCAGAGAGACAGCUCAGCUGGUAAAGGCGCUUGCUGCCAAUCUUGAUAGCCUGAUUCUGAUCCCUGGGACCCACACAGUAGAAGGAGAACCGACUCCUGAAAGCUGCUCUUCGGUCUCCACGAACAUGGUGUGGUAUCCAUGUGUAUACGUGUACACACACACACACAUAUACACACAAAUGUAAUAAAACAUUAAACAAUAUCAACAAAAACCCCAAAUA